UAGUGCGCCGGUGACCUGAUAG
rnacentral:miRNA from 1 species